rnacentral:lncRNA from 1 species
UACUCCUCUUUAUUGUCAAGUCCACGCCAAUAAUAUUAGACUUAUCGAUAUCAUCAAAUAUCACAAUACCCAUUGCUAUAUAUUAUUAUCGUAGUAAUAUCAAUAUGCAAUGACUUGUCAAAUGAAUAAUUAAAUAAUGUUCCUUUUUUAUCUACUUGAAUAAUAACUCUUUUACUGGCUCAUCCUCUUUUAUAUAUGUAUUGAAGUCGACGAUGUUCUGCAACACUUUCUCUUAGUAUUGGUUGUGCGAUCAUUAUGCCGAGGCUCCAUUGAGCAUCCAACUUCUGCUAAUGAACAUCAAGUUGCCGAUUGCGAUCAUUACUCACCAUAGCAUUGGCCAUUCUAUGCAAAUAAGUAAAAUCAACAACAAAACUUUGGCCACAU